CCUACGGGGGGCAGCAGUGAGGAAUAUUGGUCAAUGGGCGCGAGCCUGAACCAGCCAAGUAGCGUGAAGGAUGACUGCCCUACGGGUUGUAAACUUCUUUUAUAAAGGAAUAAAGUGAGGCACGUGUGCCUUUUUGUAUGUACUUUAUGAAAAAGGAUCGGCUAACUCGUUGCCAGCAGCCGCGGUACUACGGAGGAUCAGCGCGUUAUCCGGAUUUAUUGGGUUUAAGGGGUGCGUAGAUGGGUUGUUAAGUCAGUGGUGAAAGUUUGCGGCUCAACCGUAAAAUUGCAAUUGAUACUGGCUGUCUUGAGUACAGUUGAGGUAGGCGGAAUUCGUGGUGUAGCGGUGAAAUGCUUAGAUAUCACGAAGAACUCCGAUUGCGAAGGCAGCUUACUAAACUGCCACUGACAUUGAUGCUCGAAAGUGUGGGUAUCAAACAGGAUUAGAUACCCCGGUAGUC
rnacentral:rRNA from 1 species